AAUAGCCUAACGGCUGAACCAGCAACUUGAAAGAAUGUAUAGCGAAAUCUAAUUGUAUUUAAUUUAUACAACAUUGACUUUGUUAAAUAAAGUUCUAGGUAGAAUUAUGAUGAUGACAUUGUCUAUCUAUGUGUCUUGACCAAAUUACGUGCCAGCAGUCGCGGUAAUACGUAAAAGACUAGUGUUAUUCAUCUUGAAUAGGUUUAAAGGGUACCUAGACAGCCAAUCAAGCCUACAAAGGGGACUAAUCGGCUAGAGUUUAAUAUAAGGAGGCUUUAAAGUACUGAUGAUGUAGAGAGAUGAAAUACUGUGAUACUAUAUAUGGCACUGUCAUAUGCGAAAGCAUCUUCUUAUGUAAAAACUGACGUUGAGGGACGAAGGCUGUGUGUAGCAAAAAGGAUUAGAUACCCAAGUAGUCUCAGCAGAAAAUGAUGAAUGUCAUAGGAUAGAAAUAAAUUUGUUCUAUAAAUGAAAGUGUAAGCAUUCCACCUUAUGAGUAAUUUGGCAACAUUGGAACUGAAAUCAUUAGACCGUUUCUGAAACAAGUAGUGAAGUAUGUUGUUUAAUUUGAUGAUCCGCAAAAAACCUUACCACAACUUGAAUAUAAAAUUAUUAAUACAAGCGUUGCACGGUUGUCUUCAGUUAAUGUCGUGAGAUUACUGGUUAGUUCCAUUAAAUUAACGUAAACCCUUACUUUAUUUUUUUAUAGAGUAGUUCACCGCUAGAUUGGAUAUGAUAAAAGGGACUAAGACAAGUCAUCAUGACCUUAAUGUUGU
rnacentral:rRNA from 1 species